rnacentral:tRNA from 1 species
UUAUGCCAUAAAGGACCUCGGAGAAUAUUUGCCUUGAAAUCAAAAAGAAAGUGUUCGACUCACUUAUCCUUUU